rnacentral:pre_miRNA from 1 species
UUUUAUAGAUAAGCAAAGAAAGUAGUUUCUUGAGAUGGAAACUACUCAUGGUGAAGAUGCUGUGAA